GAGAAUGUCAUGAUAAUUAGGCCAGGU
rnacentral:piRNA from 1 species